GAUGAAGAACGCAGCGAAAUGCGAUAAGUAAUGUGAAUUGCAGAAUUCAGUGAAUCAUCGAAUCUUUGAACGCACAUUGCGCCCGCUAGUAUUCUGGCGGGCAUGCCUGUCCGAGCGUCAUUUCAACCCUCAAGCCCCCGGGCUUGGUGUUGGGGAUCGGCGAGCCUCCGCGCCCGCCGUCCCCUAAAUCUAGUGGCGGUCUCGCUGUAGCUUCCUCUGCGUAGUAGCACACCUCGCACUGGGAAACAGCGCGGCCACGCCGUUAAACCCCCAACUUCUGAACGUUUGACCUCGGAUCAGGUAGGAAUACCCGCUGGACUUAAGCAUAUCAAUAAGCGGAGGA
rnacentral:misc_RNA from 1 species